rnacentral:rRNA from 1 species
UACAGAGGGUGCAAGCGUUAAUCGGAAUUACUGGGCGUAAAGCGCGCGUAGGUGGUUCGUUAAGUUGGAUGUGAAAUCCCCGGGCUCAACCUGGGAACUGCAUUCAAAACUGUCGAGCUAGAGUAUGGUAGAGGGUGGUGGAAUUUCCUGUGUAGCGGUGAAAUACGUAGAUAUAGGAAGGAACACCAGUGGCGAAGGCGACCACCUGGACUGAUACUGACACUGAGGUGCGAAAGCGUGGGGAGCGAUCCGG